rnacentral:lncRNA from 1 species
GAUAAUAUUUUAUUUUUCUCUUCAAUCUCAUCAAAUUUAUCAAAAAAUACUAUGUUACCUCUAAAACCUAUCAAAAAUGUCCCCCCUUUAUCCCUCCUGAAUCCACCAUAUUUGCUGGUGCCAUUUUCCACAUGGCCUAUACCCCCAUCCUCUUUCUCAUCAUUCCUUGCAGAGUUAAAAGUAUUGUAACACAGCAGAGCCUAUUGUGCUCAAUGCUUGAAACCCUCUCAUGGGUUGCUAGUGCAUUUGGAGUAAAAUUUAAGCUACUUUUAGUGGCCAAGAGUCCAUAUUGGUUAAGAUAAGUUCAUUUGCAAAUAACAGAAAUUCCAAAUAGACGCUAUCUCCAGGAAGAGAGUGUCAGAGUGGAACUGAAUUAGAGGACUUCCAGCUUCAGUCUGCUGCAAAAUUGAUGGCUUGCUUGUUGGUGAGGUGUGGGUUGUGAGAUCUGUCACAACUUCCCAACUAUGCUAUUGUGGAUCAAAAGCAGCUAUAGACAAUAUGUAAAUGAAGGACUAUGAUUGAUGUUUGACUAGGAAUCAUAAUCCCUGUGGUAGUUACUAUAAUUUUAUAGACGUGAGCAUUUGUUAGAUGGCCUCCCCUCCCACGUCUGCCAUCACUGACAGUGAAAGUCAGCCAGUGACCCUGAAUUGUCUGCCAUUUCUCUCUCCUCUUU